AAACUAGGAUUAGAUACCCUAUUAUUGAAAAAGUAAAUAAAAAAUACUAAAAUAUUAUAUAAUUAUUUAUUGAAACUUAAAUAAUUUGGCGGUAUUUUAGUUCAUUUAGAGGAAUCUGUUUAAUAAUUGAUAAUCCACGAAUAAAUUUACUUAAUUUAAAAUUUUGUAUAUCGUUGUUAUAUAAAUAUUUUUAAAUAAUUAAUAAUAUUUAAAAAUUUAAUUAAAAAAUUAAAUUAGAUCAAGAUGCAGAUUAUAAUUAAGUAUAUAAUGGAUUACAAUAAAAAUAUUUAAG
rnacentral:rRNA from 1 species